rnacentral:tRNA from 1 species
GUUGUCAUGGCCGAGUGGUAAAGGCGAUUGACUAUAAAUCUUUUGGGAUCUUCCCGCGCAGGUCGAAUCCUGCCGACAACG